rnacentral:rRNA from 1 species
UCGAGAAUUUUUCUCAAUGGGGGAAACCCUGAAGGAGCGACGCCGCGUGAAGGAUGAAGGUCUUCGGAUCGUAAACUUCUGUCAUUAGAGAACAAUGCGCACGGGAGUAACUGCCCGGGCGUUGAUAGUACCUGAAGAGGAAGAGACGGCUAACUCUGUGCCAGCAGCCGCGGUAAUACAGAGGUCUCAAGCGUUGUUCGGAUUCAUUGGGCGUAAAGGGUGCGUAGGUGGCGAAGUAAGUCGGGUGUGAAAUCUCGGGGCUUAACCCCGAAACUGCAUUCGAUACUGCUUUGCUCGAGGACUGGAGAGGAGAUCGGAAUUCAUGGUGUAGCAGUGAAAUGCGUAGAUAUCAUGAGGAAGACCAGUGGCGAAGGCGGAUCUCUGGACAGUUCCUGACACUGAGGCACGAAGGCCAGGGGAGCAAACGGGAUUAGAUACCCCCGUAGUCC